rnacentral:lncRNA from 1 species
UAGCCUAUACUUUUUUUUUGUAUAAUUUCUUUUUAAAAAUAUAAUACAUCAAAAAUACUAAAAACACUAAAAUAAAUGGUUCCCAAUAAAUUAAAAAAUAAUAUCGAUACUUAAAUAACACUAAAAUAGAUAGGUGCAACUUAACAAGCAAAUGUCUCUAAAAUAGUAACAAAAUUAACAAUAAAAUAAGAGUUAUACGAUAUUCAACCCGUAACAACAAAAUAAUGAAAUGGUAACAAAA